rnacentral:rRNA from 1 species
GGGGAAUAUUGGACAAUGGGCGAAAGCCUGAUCCAGCCAUGCCGCGUGUGUGAAGAAGGUCUUCGGAUUGUAAAGCACUUUAAGUUGGGAGGAAGGGCUGUAGGCUAAUAUCCUGCAGUUUUGACGUUACCAACAGAAUAAGCACCGGCUAACUUCGUGCCAGCAGCCGCGGUAAUACGAAGGGUGCAAGCGUUAAUCGGAAUUACUGGGCGUAAAGCGCGCGUAGGUGGUUUUGUAAGUUGGAUGUGAAAGCCCCGGGCUCAACCUGGGAACUGCAUCCAAAACUGCAUGACUAGAGUACGGUAGAGGGUGGUGGAAUUUCCUGUGUAGCGGUGAAAUGCGUAGAUAUAGGAAGAACAUCAGUGGCGAAGGCGGCUUUCUGGACUGUAACUGACGCUGAGGCAUGAAAGCGUGGGGAGCAAAC